rnacentral:rRNA from 1 species
UGGGGAAUUUUGCACAAUGGGGGAAACCCUGAUGCAGCGACGCCGCGUGAUUUAGAAGGCCUUCGGGUUGUAAAAAUCUUUUCUAUGGGAAGAAAAUGACAGUACCAUAGGAAUAAGGACCGGCUAAUUACGUGCCAGCAGCCGCGGUAAUACGUAAGGUCCGAGCGUUGUCCGGAAUCAUUGGGCGUAAAGGGUACGUAGGCGGGUAAGCAAGUUAGAAGUGAAAUCCUAUAGCUCAACUAUAGUAAGCUUUUAAAACUGCUCAUCUUGAGGUAUGGAAGGGAAAGUGGAAUUCCUAGUGUAGCGGUGAAAUGCGCAGAUAUUAGGAAGAAUACCGGUGGCGAAGGCGACUUUCUGGCCAUAACCUGACGCUGAGGUACGAAAGCGUGGGUAGCAAACAGG